rnacentral:rRNA from 1 species
CAGCAGCCGCGGUAAUACAGAGGGUGCGAGCGUUAAUCGGAUUUACUGGGCGUAAAGCGUGCGUAGGCGGCUUCUUAAGUCGGAUGUGAAAUCCCUGAGCUUAACUUAGGAAUUGCAUUCGAUACUGGGAAGCUAGAGUAUGGGAGAGGAUGGUAGAAUUCCAGGUGUAGCGGUGAAAUGCGUAGAGAUCUGGAGGAAUACCGAUGGCGAAGGCAGCCAUCUGGCCUAAUACUGACGCUGAGGUACGAAAGCAUGGGGAGCAAACAGGAUUAGAGACCCCUGUAGUCCCUGUCUCUUAUAC